GUUUGGAGCAACAUGAAAUUUGUUAUCCAGUCCUCUGAAUGAGCAGGUGUUUGAGACGAAACACGGAGGAGAAAUGAGUAUCCAGGCUCAAAGUUACACAAACAACAACACAACGUCCUUCCGUCCAGCCUCAGUUGUUGCCCAGAUGUCCAGUGACUCUUUCAGAACAACAGUAGCUCCAAUAAACUGCAGCCUCAGGUUCAAAACCACUGGAAACACUCUACAAAACAUUCACCAUACAUUUUAAUAGUUUGGUUUAGUGAAGUUUAUUGUCAUUCCAGCAAUACUGUAUGCAUGUAUACAGUGGAACGAAAUGUUGUUUCACCAGGUCAAUUUGACCCAAACUGGAUAGUCAAACUGCUCAAAGAAAUUAAAUAAAUAAAAAAUC